rnacentral:tRNA from 1 species
GUCCUUGUAGUACAAUUCAAUACCCUGGUCUUGUAAACCAGAAAUGGAGAACUCCUACUCCCCAGGACA